rnacentral:rRNA from 1 species
GUUAUAUGGUCAAGUGAUUAAGCGCAUACGGUGAAUGCCUAGGCGACAAGAGGCGAUGAAGGACGUGGUAGCCUGCGAAAAGCUCCGGAGAGUCGGCAAACUGACUUUGACCCGGAGAUGUCCGAAUGGGGAAACCCACCGCGCAAGCGGUAUCCUCAGCUGAAUACAUAGGCUGUGGAAGCUAACCCAGGGAACUGAAACAUCUAAGUACCUGGAGGAAAAGAAAUCAACCGAGAUUCCCUUAGUAGCGGCGAGCGAACGGGGACCAGCCCUAAAGUGCUGGUGUGGCUAGUGGAACGCUCUGGAAAGUGCGGCCAUAGCGGGUGACAGCCCCGUACACGAAAGCCUAUCCAGUAUUAUUCGAGUAAGCCGGGACACGAGACAUCCUGACUGAACAUGGGGGGACCAUCCUCCAAGGCUAAAUACUCCUUGUCGACCGAUAGUGAACCAGUACCGUGAGGGAAAGGCGAAAAGAACCCCGGAGAGGGGAGUGAAAUAGAACCUGAAACCGUAUGCGUACAAGCUGUAGGAGCAUGCUUCGGCAUGUGACUGCGUACCUUUUGUAUAAUGGGUCAGCGACUUACUUCUCAGUGGCAAGCUUAACCAAUAGGGUAGGCGUAGGGAAACCGAGUCUGAAUAGGGCGUCAUAGUCGCUGGGAGUAGACCCGAAACCGGUGCGAUCUAUCCAUGGCCAGGGUGAAGGUGGGGUAAUACCUACUGGAGGCCCGAACCGGGGAACGUUGAAAAGUUCUCGGAUGAGCUGUGGAUAGGAGUGAAAGGCUAAUCAAGCCCGGAGAUAGCUGGUUCUCCUCGAAAGCUAUUUAGGUAGCGCCUCGUGUAUCACUUCUGGGGGUAGAGCACUGUUAUGGCUAGGGGGUCAUCCCGACUUACCAAACCAUUGCAAACUCCGAAUACCAGAAAGUGCAAGCACGGGAGACACACGGCGGGUGAUAAAAUCCGUCGUGAAAAGGGAAACAACCCAGACCGUCAGCUAAGGUCCCAAAAUCACAGCUCAGUGGAAAACGAUGUGGGAAGGCCCAGACAGCCAGGAGGUUGGCUUAGAAGCAGCCAUCCUUUAAAGAAAGCGUAACAGCUCACUGGUCGAGUCGGCCUGCGCGGAAGAUAUAACGGGGCUCAAGCUGUGUACCGAAGCUACGGGAUUAUGUGUCCUCGGACAUAUGAUCGGUAGAGGAGCGUUCUGUAAGCCGUUGAAGGUGGAUCGUAAGGUCUGCUGGAGGUAUCAGAAGUGCGAAUGCUGACAUGAGUAGCGAUAAUGCGGGUGAAAAACCCGCACGCCGAAAACCCAAGGUUUCCUGCGCGACGCUAAUCGGCGCAGGGUGAGUCGGUACCUAAGGCGAGGCCGAAAGGCGUAGUCGAUGGAUAACAGGUUAAUAUUCCUGUACCUCGUAUGAUUGCGAUGGGGCGACGGAGAAGGCUAGUUCAGCCGGGUGUUGGUUGUCCCGGUUUAAGCGUGUAGGGAGUAUCCUUUGGAAAAUCCGGGGAUAUAAUCCUGAGACGUGAUGACGAGUCCCUCUUUGAGGGACGAAGUGAUUGAUGCCAUGCUUCCUGGAAAAACCUCUAAGCUUCAGAUUGUACGAGACCGUACCCCAAACCAACACAGGUGGGUGAGGAGAGAAUCCUAAGGCGCUUGAGAGAACUCGGGUGAAGGAACUCGGCAAAAUAACACCGUAACUUCGGGAGAAGGUGUGCCCCCAUUACGUAAAAGCCCUGCGGCUGGAGCGGAAGGGGGUUGCAGUGACCAGGUGGCUGCGACUGUUUACUAAAAACACAGCACUCUGCAAACACGUAAGUGGACGUAUAGGGUGUGACGCCUGCCCGGUGCCGGAAGGUUAAUUGAUGGGGUUAGUCCUCGGACGAAGCUCUUGAUCGAAGCCCCGGUAAACGGCGGCCGUAACUAUAACGGUCCUAAGGUAGCGAAAUUCCUUGUCGGGUAAGUUCCGACCUGCACGA